rnacentral:lncRNA from 1 species
UCGGAAAUACUAUAAUUUUAGCCUUUGAUGCAUACCCUAUUAUUCGUUGAACCUCUCAUUGAACCGUGCCCUACUGUGUGAAAUUUAUAACCAUUUACAAAAUACCCUAGGUAUGUCGUAACAGUAGUCAAAUGCCCUUUUGUAAAAUCCUUGAGGAAAUUAUUAUGAAUAUUACUUGAUGGAUCGUGUGCCUGAAAGAUUAAAAUUAUAUUCAAUGAAUGUAUUACAAAACAUUCACUUUAUUGACAAAGACUACUAGAAGAAGAAGACUCAUGUAUGCUUUAAAUCAUAUAGAGAAGUCCAUUUUAAGUUUUUCAUCCACUUCUUCAUCCGUAAUUUUUGGAUUGUGUUGUCUUAAUAUAUCCAUGUAAAUGCUAUAAAGUGUACUGUUAGAUGACGUUAUUAAGAAAAUUUAUGUUAGUUAUUAGUUCUUUCAUAAAAAGAGGUUACUAAUCUCACAAAUGGAUCUACUUCUUCGCAAUUAAGGAAAAUGUAUGAUUGAGCAGCUUUUUAUUCU